CCUACGGGAGGCAGCAGUCGAGAGGCUUCGGCAAUGGGGGAAACCCUGACCGAGCGACGCCGCGUGGAGGAUGAAGGCCUUUGGGUUGUAAACUCCUGUCAUGAGGGAAGAAACGUCACCGUUCGAAUAGGGCGGUGACCUGACGGUACCUCAAGAGGAAGCUCCGGCUAACUCCGUGCCAGCAGCCGCGGUAAU
rnacentral:rRNA from 1 species